rnacentral:misc_RNA from 1 species
UCAAUAACACAAAAGAUUGUUUUAUUGGUUGUGCACUUAUCGUUUUUAUCAAGAAACCAAGAUUCAUUUAUGUCUUUUACAAAAAGGGCAUACGAAAAGAGACGCAGUAGACGUAUCCAAAUAGAAUAUUAAAAAAUACUAGAAUUUUCAUCAGUACAUAUAGAAAAAAAAUCGAAUGUUAGAACUUCUAAAAGAAAUGAUUUCUUAUCUAGCGAAAAUCCAAAAGAAUAUUUUGACCAUCAUGAGUCAUCGAUUUUGUACAAUGAAUACUCUUAUGGCCAAAAGCCUAAUGAGUAUAAGCAUAACCCAACUUUAAAGGAAAGUUUUUCUGCAUGUUUUUCUAACCAAGUAAUUAUGCACUAAACAAGUGGAUUGACAAAGAAUACCAACAAAUUUAUUGUCCCAAAAAAAAACUAUAAUCAUGCACUGAAAAACAACCUUUUGUCAACAAAAAAAAUGGCACAAAUUUCCAUUGAUAAAGUGUAAGAUAACAGAUAGUCAGUAUCUAACUUGUUUUGUAUUUUUUUUAAAGGUAACUUAAUUACUUUUUUGUAGCAAAAUGUUUUAUAAUUAGAUUUAUUUUCAUGUUGUGAAGAAUACAACUUUCUACAUCAGAUGAGAUAUUGUUAAAGAAAGCAUUGAAAAUAAGAAUAACAAAUCAUACCGCUCUUCAUUGCCAGAACCUCCGCCACCUAUUAUGAAUAAGCCCAAUGCUAAAAGUAUAACAUAAAUAUCAUAAUUUUUUCUUAAUGGUUUAUAAACUGAAAUAGAUUCUUGUUUAAUUUGAUCUGAAUAAUAUCUAUCUAGCUAUUAGUCUUUUUUAUGUAUUACUAAGAUUUUCCUUUAAUUUUAACUAUUUGGGUGUCCUAUUAUAUGUAAUGUUGUUAAAUUGGUUACAUAUAUUUAUAUCAUUGACAACAUUCUAUUGUAUUAAAUAAUCCUUUAAUCAACUUGAUAUGAAAAUUGAAAAUUGAUUGAAAGCAUGCUGAAGUUGUUUGAAUUCAGAAAUUGAAAGAGUACAAAAUUAGUUAAAAGAUUAAAUUAAAUAACAGAGAUGCAAAAUGUUAUUCUCAAGGAGUUUGCAGAAAUAAAAGUUCUUUUAAAAGAAGUUAUAGAAAUUAAGUUUCAGGCUACUGGGGUGAAGUUGCUAGAAUCGGUGGACAAAGUGGUUACACUGGAUAAUAAACUAAAAGAUAAAACCGAAAAUAUGAUUAAAAGGGACCAAAAGCAAUUCUUUUUGACCGUUAUUUGUUAUGGAUUUACUUUUAACAUGACAAUUUGAUAAACUCGGGAGCUUCGCUGUAGGUGUUUAAGUUUGUUUGUGUGCUAAAGUUAUUUUCGAAUCAGUUACAGUCCAAAUUAAAUCGAAAAGGAAAUGGGGAAAAGAUAAGCUUAGAAAAUCUAGUAAAUAUAUGGAGUGUUUUACGAGAUAUCGGCGACGUGGAAGAAAAUGUUGACGGCAAUUCAGAAAUAUAGUUUCUUAUGUAUAUUUUUGUGAAAUAAAAAUUAAGUAAUGUUAGUUAAAA